rnacentral:rRNA from 1 species
AUUGCCCUUAGAGUUUGAUCCUGGCUCAGGACGAACGCUGUCGGCGCGCCUAACACAAGCAAGUCGAACGAGAGAGAGGAAGCUUGCUUCCUCAAUCGAGUGGCGAACGGGUGAGUAACGCGUGAGGAACCUGCCUCAAAGAGGGGGACAACAGUUGGAAACGACUGCUAAUACCGCAUAAGCCCACAGCUCGGCAUCGAGCAGAGGGAAAAGGAGCAAUCCGCUUUGAGAUGGCCUCGCGUCCGAUUAGCUGGUUGGUGAGGUAAUGGCCCACCAAGGCGACGAUCGGUAGCCGGACUGAGAGGUUGAACGGCCACAUUGGGACUGAGACACGGCCCAGACUCCUACGGGAGGCAGCAGUGGGGAAUAUUGCACAAUGGGGGAAACCCUGAUGCAGCGACGCCGCGUGGAGGAAGAAGGUCUUCGGAUUGUAAACUCCUGUUGUUGAGGAAGAUAAUGACGGUACUCAACAAGGAAGUGACGGCUAACUACGUGCCAGCAGCCGCGGUAAAACGUAGGUCACAAGCGUUGUCCGGAAUUACUGGGUGUAAAGGGAGCGCAGGCGGGAAGACAAGUUGGAAGUGAAAUCUAUGGGCUCAACCCAUAAACUGCUUUCAAAACUGUUUUUCUUGAGUAGUGCAGAGGUAGGCGGAAUUCCCGGUGUAGCGGUGGAAUGCGUAGAUAUCGGGAGGAACACCAGUGGCGAAGGCGGCCUACUGGGCACCAACUGACGCUGAGGCUCGAAAGUGUGGGUAGCAACAGGAUUAGAUACCCUGGUAGUCCACACCGUAAACGAUGAUUACUAGGUGUUGGAGGAUUGACCCCUUCAGUGCCGCAGUUAACACAAUAAGUAAUCCACCUGGGGAGUACGACCGCAAGGUUGAAACUCAAAGGAAUUGACGGGGGCCCGCACAAGCAGUGGAGUAUGUGGUUUAAUUCGACGCAACGCGAAGAACCUUACCGAGUCUUGACAUCCUGCGACGCACAUAGAAAUAUGUGUUUCCUUCGGGACGCAGAGACAGGUGGUGCAUGGUUGUCGUCAGCUCGUGUCGUGAGAUGUUGGGUUAAGUCCCGCAACGAGCGCAACCCUUACUGUCAGUUACUACGCAAGAGGACUCUGGCAGGACUGCCGUUGACAAAACGGAGGAAGGUGGGGAUGACGUCAAAUCAUCAUGCCCUUUAUGACUUGGGCUACACACGUACUACAAUGGCGUUAAACAAAGAGAAGCAAGACCGCGAGGUGGAGCAAAACUCAGAAACAACGUCCCAGUUCGGACUGCAGGCUGCAACUCGCCUGCACGAAGUCGGAAUUGCUAGUAAUCGUGGAUCAGCAUGCCACGGUGAAUACGUUCNCCGGGCACUUGUACACACCGCCCGU